AGGAUGGAGAGGACCAGCAGUGAUGGGAUGGGUUGUGGGACGUGGAUUUUGCUCCAUCAGUUGGAAGCUCCUCCAGGGAAGCUAGAAGUGGGAGAGGGGGUUGCUAAUGCAGAGUCGGUCAGUGUUUGUGUGUGUAUGUGCCCUGCAGGUAGGCAUGGAGGGCUGUGCACUGCAGCGUCCUGGCCUGGAGGACCUGGAGAAGCUGUAAAGUAGGAAAGCAGCAGGGAGCAUGACUGAAUGAAACCAAAGGCCUCAGCUCUCCUUUUUAUGCUUGAACAUGACAGAUAAGGCCCACAGGCAGCUGUUGGCUUAGAAACAGCAUUUAAAGGCCUGUUUUUUGGGAAUUAGCUUAUA